CUCCAUAAUAAAUGAGAUGCUCAAAUGCAGCCAAUCAUAUCUGCUUAAAUGUUUUGUAACGAUAUUUAAUAAAGUAUUAACUUCAGGAAAAUUUCCUGAAAUAUGGGCUAAAGGAUUUAUUGUCCCAUUACAUAAAAGCGGAUCUAAAGAUGAUCCCUCAAAUUUUAGGGGCAUCACGAUAGGUAGUUGUGUAGGAAAACUCUUUUUAAAGAUACUUAAUAACAGAUUAGAAAAGUUUAUAACUAAAAGAAAUAUAGUUGGUCCAGAGCAGAUAGGAUUUUGUAAAGGAAAAAGAACUAGUGACCACAUGUUUGUACUUAAAACCUUAAUUGAUAAAUAUCUAAGCAGGGACAUAAACGCCU
rnacentral:lncRNA from 1 species